ACGUGAUUUUUCUCCUGUAAAUAGACAGCGUGUUUUUUUUCCCGUAAUAUAUACGUUAUCAUGUACAAAAAUUUUGUUCUUAGUUCAAUUAAGCUAAGGAUUAAAGUUUUCAUGUUUAUUUAGUUUUAACUUCCAUUGGAGAAAUACACAGUGACUGUUUGGUAUAAUAAGCUUGGGAUAUAUCCUCUUAAAGUUUUACAACUUCAGGGAAAAAUCUUAGCUGUAACAAGACAUGGACGUUGUGGGUGUAGCUUUGUACGUGUUGUCAUGGAUACUGGCCGCCAUGUUUCUGAAAGCAGGCUUGGUCAAAGUAACCAGUCGUUUAUUUCCAAAGGAACACCAACAAGCAAGUAAACGGUUUGUUCUCUGUGCUGAUGUGUGCCCUACUGUUUUAUUCGGAUACACUCCACCACCAGAUGGAUACAUGUUUGUGAUCGGAGUCAUUGAGACGCUUUGUUCUAUCCUGCUUAUGCUUCCUUUAACGAAUGUGCACGCUAGGAUUUAUUUAGUAUUCGCUGUCCUAAUGGCGCUUGCAAUUUACACCCAUGGUGUUCUAGCACAGUUUGGCAAAAUGGUAGUCCCAAUGUGUCUUUUUCUAGCGUGUUUAGUAUUAUACAAAAUGGAACCUUUAACGUUAUCAAAAAUGCCUAUAAAAUAGAUUAGAUUAAAAUAGAUUUAUAUUACUUUGAAGCUUAGAAUGCAAAUGACUGUUAAUUAUUGUAACAAAUUACUAUCAACAUCAAUAAAGAGAACUUGUGUC
rnacentral:misc_RNA from 1 species